UGUAAGAAAAAGACCAAAAGGAUUAGAAGAGGGGUGCCUAGAAAUUCAGAAAUUUAUGACUCAAAGUAGUUAUACAGCGAAGAUGAAUCUGGGAUAAUUCUUCCAUCAUACUUCUAUUCUCAGCCGGAAAAAAAUAACUUCAUUGGUACUUCAACUACGCAAGACAAGAAGCAACAACGUCAAUCUCAAGAACCAAUCAAUAUUAUUCAAUUGAAAGAGAUUUCAUCAAUCAAGGAAAUUACAAUUUUACAUGAGGAGCAAUUCUUGGGAGGAUCAAUCUUAUGUUAUGAAUCGAUAACUGAUUCAGCUAUGGUUCAGAGGAAUAGUCGUUUCUAGGGCGAGAUGGAAUCUGAAGUACCAAAGAAGGUUUGGGAGAUUAUUACGAAGUUCUGUAUUUCAGAAGAGGGAAGCAAGGAAUUUUAUGAAGAAUAAAUUAGGAAGAUGUUGGUCAAAUAUCAAGAAGGCAAGAGCAAGAGGGAGGCAAUCAAAUUCAACGAUCAAUGAAUAUUAUGUUUUUCAACAUCAGAGGAAAAGGUCAAGAGACUGAUACCAAAGAAGAAGGUGAAGAAUAAUGUUGUUUUGGCAGAUGAUAAAAGGUGGAGUGACAGACUAAGGUCCCUGAAAGCAAGAGACAUAGCUGGGUAUGAUAAAGAAUUUGAUGAUUCAUUAGUGAUAAUUGAAGAGGAAACCACAAUAGAUGUCCUUGGUGGUGCUAAGAUAUCAAAAAGCUGGGCAAACAUCUGUAAGUGCCUCACACAAUAAAAACUAUGAUGAUAAUAUGAAGAUAUUUUUAUGUACUAUCACAUGCUAAUGUUUUGAAGAUAUUUGAUUGGUGUUGUAUACUCACCAUGCCAUAUGUACUGUGAUUUAUUAUGUUUUGUGUUUUGUAAUGUACUUCAAUAGAACGGAUCAACUACCUUGUUUUGUAAUGUAAUGUCUGGAUUAAAUA